rnacentral:rRNA from 1 species
GACGAACGCUGGCGGCGUGCUUAACACAUGCAAGUCGAACGAAGUGGCGAACGGGUGAGUAACGCGUAAUCAACCUGCCCUUCAGAGGGGGUCAACAGUUGGAAACGAAUGCUAAUACCGCAUACUGAAGGAGGGGAUUGCGUGGGAUUAGCUAGUUGGAGGGGUAACGGCCCACCAAGGUGAUGAUCAGUAGCCGGUCUGGUAGGAUGAACGACCACAUUGGGACUGAGACACGGCCCAGACUCCUACGGGAGGCAGAAGUGGGGAAUCUUCCGCAAUGGACGAAAGUAUGACGGAGCAACGCCGCGGGAGUGAUGACGGCCUUCGGGUUGGAAAGCUCUGUUAAUCGGGACGCGGUACCGGAAUAGAAAGCCACGGCUAACUACGUGCCAGCAGCCGCGGUAAUAC